rnacentral:rRNA from 1 species
AUUGAACGCUGGCGGAAUGCUUUACACAUGCAAGUCGAGCGGCAGCGCGGGGCAACCUGGCGGCGAGCGGCGAACGGGUGAGUAAUACAUCGGAACGUGCCCAGACGUGGGGGAUAACUACUCGAAAGAGUGGCUAAUACCGCAUACGAUCUAAGGAUGAAAGCGGGGGAUCGCAAGACCUCGCGCGUUUGGAGCGGCCGAUGGCAGAUUAGGUAGUUGGUGGGGUAAAGGCUUACCAAGCCCGCGAUCUGUAGCUGGUCUGAGAGGAUGAUCAGCCACACUGGGACUGAGACACGGCCCAGACUCCUACGGGAGGCAGCAGUGGGGAAUUUUGGACAAUGGGCGCAAGCCUGAUCCAGCCAUGCCGCGUGAGUGAAGAAGGCCUCGG